GGUAACACUGGACCUUCUGGUCCCGCGGGUCCACGUGGUGAAGUGGGUCUUCCAGGUCUCUCUGGCCCCGUCGGACCUCCUGGCAACCCCGGAGCCAAUGGCCUGACUGGUGCUAAGGGUGCCGCUGGCCUGCCCGGUGUUGCUGGGGCUCCUGGCCUCCCCGGGCCCCGUGGCAUCUCCGGUCCUGUCGGUGCUGCUGGAGCUACUGGUGCCAGAGGACUUGUUGGUGAGCCUGGUCCAGCUGGUUCCAAAGGAGAAAGUGGUAACAAGGGUGAGCCUGGUGCUUCCGGGGCCCAGGGUCCUCCU